CAACUAGUGUUAUUGUGCUCUAUCUGUUGUAGUUUCCACAGAAAUAAAUAGGAGGCAUUACUUUCAGAGUGACCUACAUAAUAUUCUCAGGCUUGUUCACCUAAACAAAUCCAUUCCUUUCUAAACCAUCAAAGUGUCUGUGUAUGUGUGUGGAUGUGAGCAGGUUUAACAGUACAGAACUAGCUAUAGGGUAGGUGAGGUGGUGUUUUGAGUGAGGGAAUAAGAAGGAAGGAAACGAUGAGGUGCUCUGGAAGGCAGAAAACGCUGUUUUUAACAGAAUUAUAAAUGUUUUAGUUGGGGUCAGUAUGCCAUAAGUAUCUAAUUUCAUAGAUAUUUAAUUUCGCGUAUAUCAUACACUCAUAGGCAAUUAAUAAACAUUAUUUUUGUACAUGCUAGUAACGUGCCACAGUGUACUUCUAAAAACCACAAAAAGGCAACAUUAAUGGGAUUUUAACUUACUUGAUUUUCUGGGACUUCACUGCAAGAAUAACUCCAAAAGCUAAAAGAUGACCUGGUGUUUGAAGGAGAUAAAUGGGACCUUCGUUCUAUGGAUAUUGAGAUCAUUUAGCUGCAGCAACCAAAGAGAACAUUCUUGUUAGCUAUUGCUCAGUUAAAAAUUUAAGAACUUGGAAAAAAAAGGCAAAAGUGACUGUGAAAUACAGUGUCUAGAUGCAGCUAGAUUUUUGGCCAUCUUGGCUUCCUGGUCCUCUGUAUUCUACACACAAUACUUUGGCCAGAACAAAUGGCUAUAGAUGUGAGAAGAAAGCGUACCACAUCAUCUUGAUCUAAAGCACAUGUCUCAGCCACUCCAUUUCUCCUCAGAAUUUAGCCAGUGGCAACACAUUACAACACUUCUGAGUCCAUUCAGCACAGGGCUGCAUUACACAUGUAUGCUGGCCUAUUCAUUAAAAUUCAGAAGUUGUAAAGCGUUAAACUUGCCUACUACAAGGAUUUUUUUGUAUAGAUAGUCCAGACAGGCUCAUAAAAGUCCCCGGUGCUUUAUAUUCUAGAUCCAACUCUACAACAAUAAAGCUCCUUGAAAUUACAUAUGUAUGGAACUAAACUAAAUACCACAAUGUAAAGAAAACUGUCAAAGCACCACACUGUGUUCUUAAAUGGCCAACUUAAUCACUCUCUGUAAGGUUAGUAUCUGUGCACUGGCUGAAUUAAGCAGUUCUUAUAUUUCACAGCUAGAUUUCCAGUAAAAUUGGAGCAUGAUAUACAGAUAUUUUCCUCUCCAUUGAGGAUUUUACUCAUAGUCUCAAAAUAAAUCUUUUCUGGAAAUAAUUUUUGUGAAGAGAGCUAAUAUGAGUAAGUGUAGGGUGUACAAUAGAUUGCCAAUAAUCCUUUUAGCUAAUCCAUCUAUUUUAUCAUUCUUAUCUGAGAAGAGACAUUUUAUCUUCACCUUUCAUGAAAAUUUUAAUGCUAGAUUUGCACAUUCUACAAAAUACUUAUGUGUGCAACACAGCAAAUAUGUGCAAUCCUGCAGAUGCGAUAACCGCUGUGAAAGAACUUUCAGACCUCAUGGCAAAGCAUCACCAGUGACAGCCACAGAGUCAGUCUGCAGGCAGGUGUAGGUCAGGCAAAGCUUGGCUUUUCAGAUCUUAGGUUUUUAGAAAUUAUUCACAGAGUACUUACUGGAACAAAGUAGCUAACGAUCUUGUCUAAAUACUUAUGACAAGAAUAGAUGUUAUGAUUUUCCUAGCUAAAAUGACCAUAGUAAAAAGUAGAUAAACCACUGAGUCCUGAAUUAUGGUUUGGGGGUUGUUUUCUUUUUGUUGUUGUUGUUUUUAUUUUGGUUUGUUUGUUUUUUAAAUAGUUUCACUUAAAUGCUCAGCCAUUAUCUUAUAGAUAUAUUUAUAAAUGCUUAUACACACACAUGAAUAUAGUUUAGCUUCCAUGUGCGCUCUAUAAAUUAUACCUUCUAAAGAUGAAUUCUUUUACUAAGUUUUUGUAGCAAUCCCAGUAAACUAGAAAUUACAGCAACAAUGAGUAAUCACUGGAUUUCCAUGUGUUUUUCAUUUUUACAUUUAAACAGAAUUUAUAGUUGAAAGUUCUUUACAUUUUCACUUCUACAUUUCCCAUGUCCCAUUCAGCAUCAUCCUUGUUGGGUUCAUGGUGACCUCUGGCAGAGAAGCAAGUAGGAAGCUGGGCAUGAUGACUUCAGUAGCUGUUCCAAUGCCAAGUGUGGGUUGAAGUUACUUUGAGGGUGUCCAUAGCUGCAUUGAGGAAACCACAACUCUACAGAUGCAACUGAAUCCUCUAAGAGUGAUGACCAAACAGAUGAAAGCCUGUCGCUAUGAAUCGUGAGGCAUACGUUCAGGACUUGCCCUGGACUGAUAUGGGCAGCCCCUUCCUAUGGUUCUGCUGUGGCUGGGUGGACAGGAGGAACUAAGACUACUUCUAUCAAAAAAUGUUUGACCUUGCUUAUAUGGGCCUGGAUAAAAAUGGCAGUGUAAGGAACAGUACAUUCAGUUGCUCAGCGAAGCCCAUAGAAUCCUGCUUACUGCAUGGAAAUACAACAACAGUAAAAUCAGAGAAUUAGGAGAUGUCUCAGAAAACAUGUCUGGACUCCAUUUCACUUAUUCUCUGAGGAGAAGCAUAAUCACUAUACACAGAAUUACGGGUCUCUCAGAAGGCUGCUUCUCUACCGUUCCUAACAUCAAAAUGGAUACUGGGUUUAAUGAAAGCAGAUUCUAUCAUGGUUGCUGCUUUGUGUGUUCUGGUACAUGAACAGUUUGAAUUCCUUCUGUCUAUCGGAUCUCUAUGGAGCCCAAGACAAACUGGUGAUUCUGAGAAUGCUCAUGGACAGCUGAAUGUAGGGGUUCAUUAAUAAUUUUGUUUCCCUAAGACUCUGUAACCUUCAGUCAAUUUUAGGCUUUAAUCAAAUUUCA